CUUGUUUUUAAAAGACCUAGCAAUAGGUAUGCUUAGGGAGGAGCUUGCGUCACAUUAGUUAGUUGGUGGGGUAAAGGCCUACCAAGACUAUGAUGUGUAGCCGGGCUGAGAGGUUGAACGGCCACAUUGGGACUGAGACACGGCCCAAACUCCUACGGGAGGCAGCAGUAGGGAAUUUUCGGCAAUGGAGGAAACUCUGACCGAGCAACGCCGCGUGAACGAUGAAGUAUUUCGGUACGUAAAGUUCUUUUAUUAGGGAAGAAUAAAUGAUGGAAAAAUCAUUCUGACGGUACCUAAUGAAUAAGCCCCGGCUAACUAUGUGCCAGCAGCCGCGGUAAUACAUAGGGGGCAAGCGUUAUCCGGAAUUAUUGGGCGUAAAGGGUGCGUAGGCGGUUAAAUAAGUUUAUGGUCUAAGUGCAAUGCUCAACAUUGUGAUGCUAUAAAAACUGUUUAGCUAGAGUAAGAUAGAGGCAAGUGGAAUUCCAUGUGUAGUGGUAAAAUGCGUAAAUAUAUGGAGGAACACCAGUAGCGAAGGCGGCUUGCUGGGUCUUUACUGACGCUGAGGCACGAAAGCGUGGGGAGCAAACAGGAUUAGAUACCCUGGUAGUCCACGCCGUAAACGAUGAGUACUAAACGUUGGGUAAAACCAGUGUUGAAGUUAACACAUUAAGUACUCCGCCUGAGUAGUACGUACGCAAGUAUGAAACUUAAAGGAAUUGACGGGACUCCGCACAAGCGGUGGAUCAUGUUGUUUAAUUCGAAGGUACCCGAAAAACCUCACCAGGUCUUGACAUGCUUCUGCAAAGCUGUAGAAACACAGUGGAGGUUAUCAGUUGCACAGGUGGUGCAUGGUUGUCGUCAGCUCGUGUCGUGAGAUGUUGGGUUAAGUCCCGCAACGAGCGCAACCCUUAUUGUUAGUUGCCAGCACGUAAUGGUGGGGACUUUAGCAAGACUGCCAGUGAUAAAUUGGAGGAAGGUGGGGACGACGUCAAAUCAUCAUGCCCCUUAUGACCUGGGCUACAAACGUGAUACAAUGGCUGUUACAAAGGGUAGCUGAAGCGCAAGUUUUUGGCGAAUCUCAAAAAAACAGUCUCAGUUCGGAUUGAAGUCUGCAACUCGACUUCAUGAAGUUGGAAUCGCUAGUAAUCGCGAAUCAG
rnacentral:rRNA from 1 species